rnacentral:snRNA from 1 species
GUGUUAUGUUUACAAAAAAAACAGUACAUAUACUAAAAUUGGAACGAUAGCAUGGCCCCUGCGCAAGGAUGACACGCAAAUUCGUGAAACGUUCCAUAUUUUU